GCGGCAGCGACGCUGAUGCGUUGUUGGGUAGGGGAGCGUUCUGUAAGCCUGCGAAGGUGUGCUGUGAGGCAUGCUGGAGGUAUCAGAAGUGCGAAUGCUGACAUAAGUAACGAUAAAGCGGGUGAAAAGCCCGCUCGCCGGAAGACCAAGGGUUCCUGUCCAACGUUAAUCGGGGCAGGGUGAGUCGACCCCUAAGGCGAGGCCGAAAGGCGUAGUCGAUGGGAAACAGGUUAAUAUUCCUGUACUUGGUGUUACUGCGAAGGGGGGACGGAGAAGGCUAUGUUGGCCGGGCGACGGUUGUCCCGGUUUAAGCGUGUAGGCUGGUUUUCCAGGCAAAUCCGGAAAAUCAAGGCUGAGGCGUGAUGACGAGGCACUACGGUGCUGAAGCAACAAAUGCCCUGCUUCCAGGAAAAGCCUCUAAGCAUCAGGUAACAUCAAAUCGUACCCCAAACCGACACAGGUGGUCAGGUAGAGAAUACCAAGGCGCUUGAGAGAACUCGGGUGAAGGAACUAGGCAAAAUGGUGCCGUAACUUCGGGAGAAGGCACGCUGAUAUGUAGGUGAGGUCCCUCGCGGAUGGAGCUGAAAUCAGUCGAAGAUACCAGCUGGCUGCAACUGUUUAUUAAAAACACAGCACUGUGCAAACACGAAAGUGGACGU
rnacentral:rRNA from 1 species